rnacentral:rRNA from 1 species
CGCGUGGGCGACCUGCCUCACACAGGGGGAUAACAGCCAGAAAUGGCUGCUAAUACCGCAUAAGCGCACAGUGCUGCAUGGCACAGUGUGAAAAACCGAGGUGGUGUGAGAUGGGCCCGCGUCUGAUUAGCUUGUUGGCGGGGUAACGGCCCACCAAGGCGACGAUCAGUAGCCGGCUUGAGAGAGUGGACGGCCACAUUGGAACUGAGACACGGUCCAAACUCCUACGGGAGGCAGCAG